CGUGUAGUAUAUGUGAAAAAGCACGGGAGAAAAAUAUAACUGAGAUUAAACAUGAUACAAUGAACCCUAUAUAUAGACACAUAAUCUAUCCUACUCCUAAUAAACAUUGGAUUAGGCUACUCCUAAUACACAUAGGAUUAGGAUUCUACUAUUAUAUAUUCUAACAGUCCCCCUCAAGCUGGUGCAUAUAAAUCAUAUGUGCCGAGCUUGUUACAUAUGUAGUUAACAUCAAACCCGAAUUUCUAGUAGCGAAAGCAUAGAGUCCCAAAGACAUCGAUGAAAACUUGCUGAAAUAGAUGAAGGAAAUACUGUUUUUGCCGGAAAAUUACUGUAGAUGCCGAGCUUGUUACAUAUGUAGUUAACAUCGAACCCGGGUUUCUAGAC
rnacentral:lncRNA from 1 species